CCCUCUUUGGUACUUGAAGAGAGGAUACCCCUUGUGUGUUCAUGCUUUUAAUGGUGAAUAUACGGGGGGAGACUCUUAUUUGCGUACCAAACUCCCUGGGAAGGCGC
rnacentral:miRNA from 1 species